rnacentral:tRNA from 1 species
AAAAAGUUAGUUAAAAAAUAACAUUAAUAUGUCAAGUUAAAAUUGUUAGUCAAACCUAAUACUUUUUG